UGCGUCAUUACCUUGGGGACUAUUAUGGGAACAAAUUCUAAAGGAGUUCGUUCUGCUGUGUAGCAGUAAGAGCUUUUAACAUAAACAAGCCUGGAACCUCCCUGAUUGUUCCUCUACUCAGACUGUCCUGCCAGCUGACUGUGGUGCCUUCCCUGAUAGCAGACCCCUGACCUCUGAAGUAAUGCUGCCCUGAAGAUACCAGGAUGCAAGCACAGGAGAAAACUUCCCCAAACAUGAAAGAGAAGAGGCAAAAGCAAGGAUGGGAAUGCUGUGUGUCUGUGAACAGACCCUGGAAGAUGCAAGAAAAAGCAAACCACACAGAAGAACUGCACACUGCAAUGAAGUUGGAAUGCAAGUCUUCAUCAGAAGGGGGGGAACAAACUUUGGAUAAUCCAACCACAAAAUAUGUGAACCACAAACAAGUGUAAACACACAGGUAGACACAACACACACACAUACACACACACACACACACACACUAACACAGGUCAGCCCUUUCCCCAGGAAUUUUCAUCAAUGUAGUUUUUUUUUUUUAAACCUUAUUAACAUUCCAGUAUAAAAAAAGUAUAAAAAUAUAUAUAAGGUAUAUAAAAAGUAUAUAAAAAUUUCAUGUCUGUUUCCAUGCUUAAAUGCUUGGCUUUACAAAUAUUGCAAACAUAAAACAAAACAAAACCUAAAAAUAAAAAAAUGCAAUCCAUGAAAUUCAGUUUCUAAUGAUCAGGCCAUACACAGCUGAUUAAAAUAAAAAAAUAAGUUACUGUGCUUCAAAUCUGCCUCUAGGACACAGGCCCCAAAUCUUUCCCUAAAAUACAGGCAUUUUUACCACAAAUUGUCUUUUUUUUUACCCUAUCAUUUAGGUUCCUUUAUGUAGAGGACAAAAAUUUCUUCAAAAUAUAGUUAAAGAUACUCAUCAGGCUGCCUUUUUCUUGGGUACAAACAAGUUAAAACUAGGCAAUUAAAGCAUAUUGGUCUGAUAUCAAUUGUAGCAUAUUUUUAAAAGUAUCUAGUCCUGCAUAAAUGAUAGAUUUUUAGCAAUAUUUUGAUGUUUUAACUUUCUCAGAUAAUUAAGAUUUUUCACUAGGCUAUGAAAUCUCUUUUAGGCAUCUUUAUAGUAAAAUGAGAAAGUUUUUAUGACAUCCAAAUCUUUUGGGGAAAUAGUAAUGUCUUACAUUUUUUGACUUUGUAGUUAUUUUUCAAGGAUCUUAUGCUGUAAUAUUAUAUGAUUGAUUCCAUUCAUUUAUUCUUUAUUCCUUCAUUGUCUCAUAUAUAUCAGGUAUGGGAUUAAGUUUCAGGGAUUUCUUUCUUUUUUUUUUUUUAAGAUUUUAUUUAUUUGACAGAGAGAGAGAUCACAAGUAGGCAGAGAAGCAGCAGAGAGAGAGAGGGAAGCAGGCUCCCUGCUCAGCAGAGAGCCUGAUGUGGGGCUCGAUCCCAGGACCCUGAGAUCAUGACCUGAGCCGAAGGCAGAGGCUUAAUCUGCUGAGCCACCUAGGUGCCCAAGUUUCAGGGAUUUCUGCAUGCAUCACAUAACACAUAUCCAUAAAAGGCUUUCAUCUGUCUCCAGGUAAGCAGGUAAUUUAAAAUGUGAUUAGGCAGUUUUAUUUUUGAGCAUAUGGUAGGAUAGUUGUUCAGAAAGAUUCUCCCAGAAAACAAUACCUACAAAUAUGAAUAAGUUUUUGUAAAAUGAUAUAUUUCUGUAUUACUGGUCUGAACUGAUGAAAAAGACAAGGAAAUCUUAAUGGGCAGAUAGCAAGAAGUUAUGAAUACGAAGAAGCAAGCAAGUUCCAAAAUCAUUGUUUGUCCUGACAGCAUGUGCCAGAGCUGGUGGUCCACAGCUUCAUGGGCUACAUAGAGACAAAGCCUGGAGUCUAUGCAAGGAAAGAUACAAGAACAACAGCAACAACAACAAAAAAAUCCAACACAAAAGCCUCCAAAUGGUGACAUCUCAGUGAAUGAACUGAGAAAGAACAUUCUAAGAAGGAGAUUGAAGCCAAUCAAGCAACUGUGAGUGGGCAUCAUCAAAAUAAUCAGACUCAAAAUAUUGUAGGUUUUGAAAAGGUACGUACAGACCCUGAAGUGAACAUCAGUCACAUGUUUUGAGAAGCAAGAUAUCAAGAUUACCAAGAGGACAAGAAAUACCAGAUACCUGUAAAAAAAGAACCAAAUGAUGAAUUGGGAAAGGCUUUAAACAUAAUAUAGUACAGAGACAAAGAAAUUAAAAUAUAUAAAAUAUAGGGUUAAUCAAAACAGAAGAUCAAGAAGGUAACUGAAGUUUUGGAUGGAGAAAGAGAGUAGAGAGAGAUAAAGAAUGUAAGGAAACCGUCGAAGUGUUAAUGAGUUAGACUUUUCUAAUAUUACAAAGGAGAUCAACUUUUAGGGGAGUCCAAGUGUAAAAAGCCUAUCCAGGUAUAUUGUCAAACAUCACAUAAAAGAUGAAAAGAUCUUAAAAUAGAAACAAGAUAAAGUAACCCCAAACAAAUAAAAAUUAAACCAAAGCAGACCUCUCAGUAAUAAUACUGGAAGCCAAAAUAAUAUCUUUAGAGCUCUGGAAGUAAACUCAGAGAGAAAUGAAGAAGCAUCAGCUUAGAAUUUUAUACUCAGUAAAACUAUCUUUUGGGACUAAAGAUAAAAUGAAAUGAAAACUUUUUUUUUAUUUCAAGGAAAACCUACUUGAAUAUAAAAUACUGGAAUUUGAGACAUAAUCCAAAUUAUAAAAAUAAUCUCUUACAUUUUGUUCUGCUUUGUAAUUUACAACAUUCUUUCACAUUUCUUUUCUUGCUUGAGCCAUAGCAAUGUGGUGAUGCUCUUGCCCCAAAUAAGAAGCUGUGUUUUUCCAAAAUUUGAAAAGCAAGUUUUAUUAAUUAACUUUAAAAUGACAAAAAAAUAUGUGAUCAAUCUAGUUGACUUGGAAAACACUGAAAGGGGGAGAAAUAAAAAUCAUCCAAUAUCUCAUUCCUCAAAGAUAACCACUGUCAGUUAAUAUUUUGCUCCAAAAUCUUCCUAUAAUUUUUCACAAAGAUGUCUUUUUAUGUGUUCUUUUCCCUUUAAAAUAGAUCAUAAGCAUAUUACUAUGCCAAUUGUUUUUAUUCUAUUAUGUUAUUAUUUUUUUAAUGAUAGAUAGCCUUUAUCAUGUGAAUCUUGCUUAAUCAUUAAAACACUAUUUAGCUACUGUGGUAGUCUGGAUUAUUAAACAGCAAAUGUUUGCUUCCCUCCCCUCCUACAGAAGAUGCUUUUCUAACACUUGUCGAUUUCAAGCUUAGCCAUGAAACUUAUUUUGGCCAAUGGAAGUUAAUGAAUUUUGUGCAGAAAUGAUAACUGUCCUUGUCCAAAUUGGUUUGGGUCUAAUGUUUUGAUGACUCACUGUAGAUAGCUCCUGGUCCUUUCUGUUUGGGACUUCCAAAAAAUAAGCACAUCUGGAACAAAUCUGAACCCAAACUGGACCAAGUACUGUCACCACAGAGCAGCCCAGUCAAGCCUGGUCUAA
rnacentral:lncRNA from 1 species